CAGGCAGGCAGUCACACACAGAGACAGUCACACACACACACAGAGACAGACAGUCACACACACACACACAAGGACAGGCAGUCACACAGACAGUCACACACACACACACACACACAGACAGUCACACGCACACAGGCAGGCAGUCACACAGACAGACAGUCACACACACACACAGACAGACAGUCACACAAACAGGCAAACAGUCACACACACACACUUACCUCUUUCCAGUGGAUGCAGUUGGCUGAUGGGG